rnacentral:snRNA from 1 species
GUGCUUGCUUUGCAUCACAUACACUGCAAUUGUGACAAUGCAGAGGUCAGCAUGGCUCCUGUGCAAGGAUGACAUGUAAAUUCGCAAAGCAUUCUGUAGUUUU